AAUUUAAAAAAGCACCAAACGAAGGGAGGGGAUGCAGCCAUGAGCCCAGGGAUAAGGGGUGAGAAGAAGCAGCCCAAGCCAUGGAAUUUCUAUUUUUGCCACACCGGGAAUUGCCACGUGUGUCCCAAAUGCGAGGAGCAGCUCCACGGUGACCUGGCCACCAUCCCGGACCCCGCUCGCCGCUCCUGCGCCUCCUGCCAGCGCUGGCUGAGCUCCCAACCCCAAAAACCACGAACCUACUCAGUCCCCAGCAUGGGUGACAUUGGGGACAGCCAAAGCCCAGUGGGCACCAGGUACAGCCCUGGCAGGGCUCUGUGGGAAGGGGGAGAAGKGAGUGUUGCAGUUGGAAUUAUUUUGGUUUCUGUUUUAGCAGGAGCAAGUAUUUGAUAUUUAGGAAACGGUGGUUCUUUUGGGCAGUAGGUGUUUUUGGGAAGCUGCACGCUCAGGUUUGUUUUCUCUCUCUCUGUGUUCAGCUCUCCUGACAAAGCUGAGGGCACGGGAGAAGCUGGUCCCCAGUGCAGCGAGGCAGAGCAGCUCAA